AUGCGCGGGAGCCGACUGGCGGCCCUCCGCCGCUUACCCUUCACAUCCACGGUGCAGGACUACGCCGACCGCUUCCAGGCCCUGGCGUGCCACGCGCCGGGCGUCUCCGCAACUCAGCGCGCCGAGUUAUUUGUGGGCGGUCUACCGGACCAUAUCCGCGUCGACGUGGAGCUUCGGGGACCCCAGGAUCUCCAGUCGGCCAUGCAUUACGCCCGCGCAUUCGAGCGCCACGCGGUGGCCAUCCAGCAGGAAUCACCGUCCCAGACUGUUGGGUCGCUACCCGGACCGGAUUCCGCGCAGGGUCGGCCUGUGCAGGCUUCUGUGGCACCCCUCGCCGCGACCGCGGGGCGCCCGUUCUACCGGCUCACCCCAGUUGAGAUACUCGAGCGUCGCCGCCAAGGGUUGUGCUUCAACUGCGACAAACCCUACAAGCCCGGCCACGCCUGCCCGCGACUCUUCUACCUGGAGGUGGCAAACUACAUUCCGGAGGACGCCGUCGCCGCCGACCUGGCCGCCCCAGAUGUCGAGAAGGUGUUUGACGCUGGUUGA
rnacentral:rRNA from 1 species